AUGAACGCUAGCGACAGGCUUAACACAUGCAAGUCGAGGGGCAGCACAGGUAGCAAUACCGGGUGGCGGCCGGCGCACGGGUGAGUAACGCGUAUGCAACUUGCCUAUCAGAGGGGGAUAACCCGGCGAAAGUCGGACUAAUACCGCAUGAAGCAGGGAUCCCGCAUGGGAAUAUUUGCUAAAGAUUCAUCGCUGAUAGAUAGGCAUGCGUUCCAUUAGGCAGUUGGCGGGGUAACGGCCCACCAAACCGACGAUGGAUAGGGGUUCUGAGAGGAAGGUCCCCCACAUUGGUACUGAGACACGGACCAAACUCCUACGGGAGGCAGCAGUGAGGAAUAUUGGUCAAUGGCCGAGAGGCUGAACCAGCCAAGUCGCGUGAGGGAUGAAGGUUCUAUGGAUCGUAAACCUCUUUUAUAAGGGAAUAAAGUGCGGGACGUGUCCCGUUUUGUAUGUACCUUAUGAAUAAGGAUCGGCUAACUCCGUGCCAGCAGCCGCGGUAAUACGGAGGAUCCGAGCGUUAUCCGGAUUUAUUGGGUUUAAAGGGUGCGUAGGCGGCCUUUUAAGUCAGCGGUGAAAGUCUGUGGCUCAACCAUAGAAUUGCCGUUGAAACUGGGGGGCUUGAGUAUGUUUGAGGCAGGCGGAAUGCGUGGUGUAGCGGUGAAAUGCAUAGAUAUCACGCAGAACCCCGAUUGCGAAGGCAGCCUGCCAAGCCAUUACUGACGCUGAUGCACGAAAGCGUGGGGAUCAAACAGGAUUAGAUACCCUGGUAGUCCACGCAGUAAACGAUGAUCACUAGCUGUUUGCGAUACACUGUAAGCGGCACAGCGAAAGCGUUAAGUGAUCCACCUGGGGAGUACGCCGGCAACGGUGAAACUCAAAGGAAUUGACGGGGGCCCGCACAAGCGGAGGAACAUGUGGUUUAAUUCGAUGAUACGCGAGGAACCUUACCCGGGUUUGAACGCAUUCGGACCGAGGUGGAAACACCUUUUCUAGCAAUAGCCGUUUGCGAGGUGCUGCAUGGUUGUCGUCAGCUCGUGCCGUGAGGUGUCGGCUUAAGUGCCAUAACGAGCGCAACCCUUGCCACUAGUUACUAACAGGUAAAGCUGAGGACUCUGGUGGGACUGCCAGCGUAAGCUGCGAGGAAGGCGGGGAUGACGUCAAAUCAGCACGGCCCUUACAUCCGGGGCGACACACGUGUUACAAUGGCGUGGACAAAGGGAAGCCACCUGGCGACAGGGAGCGAAUCCCCAAACCACGUCUCAGUUCGGAUCGGAGUCUGCAACCCGACUCCGUGAAGCUGGAUUCGCUAGUAAUCGCGCAUCAGCCAUGGCGCGGUGAAUACGUUCCCGGGCCUUGUACACACCGCCCGUCAAGCCAUGGGAGCCGGGGGUACCUGAAGUCCGUAACCGCGAGGAUCGGCCUAGGGUAAAACUGGUGACUGGGGCU
rnacentral:rRNA from 1 species